UACGUAGGGUGCGAGCGUUGUCCGGAAUUAUUGGGCGUGAAGAGCUUGUAGGCGGUUUGUCGCGUCUGCUGUGAAAAUCCGGGGCUCAACCCCGGACUUGCAGUGGGUACGGGCAGGCUAGAGUGUGGUAGGGGAGACUGGAAUUCCUGGUGUAGCGGUGAAAUGCGCAGAUAUCAGGAGGAACACCGAUGGCGAAGGCAGGUCUCUGGGCCACUACUGACGCUGAGAAGCGAAAGCAUGGGGAGCGAUCAGG
rnacentral:rRNA from 1 species